GGUCUGUCUGCUGUAACUGAUGCUCCAUUGAACAUGGGCGUUGAUGUUGAAUCCAUACCCCCAGCCGGCUUCUCUUUUCCUAAUGGGUGCUUGCCUACUUGCCACUUUUCUUGGUGUUUCUUCAGUGCUUAGCAGAAAUGGAUUUACCAUGAAGCCAAUAAAAUGCUCAUUGUCCUUCAUUGUUCAAGACUUCUGUGCACCCUGCACCUUGCACCCGACUGAACUCAGUGCCAAUAGAUCCCUCAAAUAAAACAUCAAUGUGACUGUUGUCCUCAGUUUGCCAAAGACUGUGUAUCUUCCAUGAGCUUAUAUAAACAAUUCCAGCAUGAUUUAAUAUGCUUCCACUUGCCUUUUUGCGGGUGAAUAUGUUUUUCUGGGUUAGGAUAAUGUUUUGUUUUAUUUUUUAAUUUCUUUAUUGGAGGAUUAAUGUUUGACAGUCGACAGUAAACACAAUAAUUUGUCCAUGAAUAACAAUUCCCAGUUUUCCACAUAACAAUGCAACCCCUGCUAGGUCCUCUGGCAUCAUGUUCCAGGACCUGACCCCUCCCCCAAAC